CGCGUUGCCCGCUGCUGCUACCUGCGGCUAGAUUGUUCCUCCUGCCUUGUUUUGGGGUGUUUAUUUGUUUUUAGACCGGGAAACGUUCCAAAGCGCACAUUCAGGCGCGUGUAGAGUCACUGACAGUUAAGUUUGCGUUUCGCUUGUUAUUGGCCUAAUCAAAUUCUAGGGUUUAAUUCCGAAAGCUCUGCAAGAAGCAGUCCACCGGAGAACGUUGAUAAGCGGAGGUUGAUUUAGCUGUGACAUAACUGUUAAGAAAAAAACCAGGGCGUCCACAUAAAUUUCGAGGCCACAGCCCAGCCAUGUGGUGUGGGGACUGGAGCCAGCUGCCACAGGAGUCAUUACGCUUCCUGACCUCUUCGUCGCAGAGUAGCCUUGAGGUGUGCCCUGUCGUAAUCUUGUGUGCUUCAGCUGUGUUGAAAAUAUGUUCUUAAGCAACUGCAUGGAUUUUCCCCCUCAUGCUACAGUUGAGCCUCGCGAUAACAAUGUUGCACCGGACAUGAAAAUACCGUUGUUGUGUUUGAUAUCUGUUGCAGCACACUUACGUGCUCGU